CAAAUUCACAUUUAAUCAUCCGUGAAUACACGUGUCUUCUUACUGGCUAUAGCGAGAGUCGAUGGUCAGAAAGGUGACCGCACGGGUUUUAAGUGCGGACAAAUGGUCACAUGUCAUGAAUAUUCAUGAACGUACGACGAACUAAAUUUUAUUUAUAUUCUCCCUCACUACGUUCGUCCGAAUAUAAAGUAAUUAAUAUUCUAUGGCCUUAACAAAGAACAAACGACAUAAUGUAGGUGUGCUACUCGCUAUAACCUCGAGACAAAGGGAAAAUAGUAAAUUCAUAGCAUAAUUGAGCCGAAUAAUAUCACCAAAAAUUAAAUAUCUAUAAACCGUUAUAUACCAAGAUUUAACGAAACCGUUAGUUGCUUUUUAACAGAAUCUUUGAUAUAACCAUCUUUAGCAAAAUCGGUACGCCACCUUCCAUGCUCUUUAAUUAAACGAUCAGAAACGUCAUUUCUUGCAGCAGCAGUUGCGCCACCACUGCGCAAACUAUGAAGACAAAAAAGUUUACAAUCAAGACCAAUCGCAGUUAAUGUGCCCAAAAGUAACUCCCUAGCUCUAGUAUAAGAUAAAGGACGAUUAGCCUCUGCUAACUUAUAAGAAUUUACUGACUUAAAA
rnacentral:lncRNA from 1 species